rnacentral:rRNA from 1 species
GGUCAAGUUAUUAAGGGUGCAGGGCGGAUGCCUUGGCACUAGGAGCCGAUGAAGGACGUGAUAAGCUGCGAUAAGCUUCGGGGAGUUGCACGUAAACUUUGAUCCGAAGAUUUCCGAAUGAGGAAACUCACUUAGAGUAAUGUCUAAGUAUCAUUAAGUGAAUACAUAGCUUAAUGAGGGGAACUCAGGGAACUGAAACAUCUAAGUACCUGAAGGAAGAGAAAGAAAUUCGAUUCCGUAAGUAGCGGCGAGCGAACGCGGAUUAGCCCAAACCAAUAAAGUUUUCUUUAUUGGGGUUGCGGACAUAUCAUAACGAAGAGGUAUCGUAAUUGAAGAGGUUUGGAAAGACCCACCACAGAAGGUAAUAGUCCUGUAUGUUAAACGAGAAGACUUCAGAUAUGAUCCAGAGUACCACGGGACACGUGAAACCCUGUGGGAAGCAGGAGGGACCACCCUCCAAGGCUAAAUACUACCUAGUGACCGAUAGCGUAUAGUACCGUGAGGGAAAGGUGAAAAGAACCCCGGGAGGGGAGUGAAAUAGAACCUGAAACCCUGCACUUACAAGCUGUGGAAGCACAUUUCUUGUGUGACCGCGUACUUUUUGUAGAACGGGCCAACGAGUUACGUUAAGUAGCAAGGUUAAGCACUUAAGGUGUGGAGCCGUAGCGAAAGCGAGUUUUAACUGAGCGUUCAGUUACUUGACGUAGACCCGAAACCGGGCGACCUACCCAUGAGCAGGAUG